rnacentral:rRNA from 1 species
GAGUUUGAUCCUGGCUCAGAUUGAACGCUGGCGGCAGGCCUAACACAUGCAAGUCGAGCGCGAAAGCACUUCGGUGUGAGUAGAGCGGCGGACGGGUGAGUAACGCGUAGGAAUCUACCUGGUAGUGGGGGACAACUCGGGGAAACUCGAGCUAAUACCGCAUACGCCCUACGGGGGAAAGCGGGGGACCUUCGGGCCACGCGCUAUCAGAUGAGCCUGCGUUGGAUUAGCUAGUUGGUGGGGUAAUGGCCUACCAAGGCGACGAUCCAUAGCUGGUCUGAGAGGAUGAUCAGCCACACCGGGACUGAGACACGGCCCGGACUCCUACGGGAGGCAGCAGUGGGGAAUAUUGCGCAAUGGGCGAAAGCCUGACGCAGCCAUGCCGCGUGUGUGAAGAAGGCCUUCGGGUUGUAAAGCACUUUCAAUUGGGAGGAAAGGUUCACGGCUAAUACCCGUGAGCUGUGACGUUACCUUUAGAAGAAGCACCGGCUAACUCCGUGCCAGCAGCCGCGGUAAUACGGAGGGUGCGAGCGUUAAUCGGAAUUACUGGGCGUAAAGCGCGCGUAGGUGGUCUGUUAAGUUGGAUGUGAAAGCCCCGGGCUCAACCUGGGAACUGCACCCGAUACUGGCAGACUAGAGUGCGAGAGAGGGAGGUAGAAUUCCAUGUGUAGCGGUGAAAUGCGUAGAUAUGUGGAGGAAUACCAGUGGCGAAGGCGGCCUCCUGGCUCGGCACUGACACUGAGGUGCGAAAGCGUGGGGAGCAAACAGGAUUAGAUACCCUGGUAGUCCACGCCGUAAACGAUGUCUACUAGCUGUAGGGGUACUUGAGACCUUUGUAGCGCAGCUAACGCACUAAGUAGACCGCCUGGGGAGUACGGCCGCAAGGUUAAAACUCAAAUGAAUUGACGGGGGCCCGCACAAGCAGUGGAGCAUGUGGUUUAUUCGAUGCA